CCGGGAACCCCGAACAUCCCCUUUCUCUACUCUUUCCCUUUGGAGUCUAUAGAGGGAGAAGCAGAGCCUAAGGCUUCAUCAGUUUGAAUACUGGCUGGGGCUGGGCAAGUUAGUGGCUCAAAGUGUUGAAUCUGUCCCUAAAGCAGGGACAGAAAUGGAGGCUCAGGAGGUAGAGGUGGCAGUGGGCGUGCAGGAGAAGCUGUAGGUCAGGAGGUAGAGGUGGCAGUGGGCGUGCAGGAGAACUGUAGGUCAGAGUGGAGAGGUGGCAGUGGGCGUGCAGGAGAAGCUGUAGGUCGGGGGGUAGAGGUGGCAGUGGGCGUGCAGGAGAAGCUGUAGGUCGGGAGGUAGAGGUGGCAGUGGGCGUGCAGGAGAAGCUGUAGGUCGGAGAGGGUGCAGAGUGGAGAACAGAUGAGCUGGAGUCACACCAUGCCCUAUACCCAGCCAGAGGCCGAAGUGAGCCUGUCACGGUAAUGCCACUGCCUGCUUGAUUCCCUCCCAUGCCUAGCCUGGGUUCUUCAUGAUCCCUGAGGCCCUCUUUGAUGUCAUCCCGCUGCCUCAAAACCUGUGUGUGCUGGUGGCUCCCUCUGCUUUCCUUCCAGAUGACUCCUUCGCUUCAGCUCAAAUGUCACCUUUGGCUGUUAAAAUCCUUUCCGGAGGAAGUUGUAAACAAUGCCUACCCCUCCUCCCGAGGUCUCUGAUUCCACUCCAGGGAAGAUUGCUCUGGGGGAGCCAAUGAGUUUGUUGGGAUUACUUCCAGAGCAUAGGUGAGGGGUUAGUUACUUGAAUAUGAGUGCUGCCCACCAAAAGACCGCACUGAAAAGUCUUUACCCAGCAGGGGUGAUGGU
rnacentral:lncRNA from 1 species